rnacentral:rRNA from 1 species
UCUUGGGCAAUGGGCGAAAGCCUGACCUAGCGACGCCGCGUGGAGGAAGAAGGCCUUCGGGUCGUAAACUCCUGUUUGGGGAGAAGAACAAGAGAGAAGUUAAUAGCUUCUCUCUCUGACGGUAUCCCCGGAGAAAGCUCCGGCUAAUUACGUGCCAGCAGCCGCGGUAAUACGUAAGGAGCGAGCGUUGUCCGGAUUUACUGGGCGUAAAGGGCUCGUAGGUGGUUUCUUAGGUCUCACGUGAAAUUCCCUGGCUCAACCAGGGAGGGUCGUGGGAAACCGAGAGGCUAGAGGGCAGGAGAGGAGAGUGGAAUUCCCGGUGUAGCGGUGAAAUGCGUAGAGAUCGGGAGGAACACCAGUGGUGAAGACGGCUCUCUGGACUGUCCCUGACACUGAGGAGCGAAAGCCAGGGGAGCAAACCGG